AGAGUUUGAUCCUGGCUCAGAACGAACGCUGGCGGCGCGUUUUAAGCAUGCAAGUCGAACGGUAGAGUGGGCUUCGGCCUGCUUGAGAGUGGCGAACGGGUGAGUAACACGUAGGUGAUCUACCCUAAAGUUGGGGAUAGCCUGUGGAAACACAGGGUAAUACCGGAUAAUCCUUAUUGUUUACGGAUGAUAAGGGAAAGGGGCUACGGCCCUGCUUUUGGAAGAGCCUGCGUUCCAUUAGUUAGUUGGCAGGGUAAAGGCCUACCAAGGCGACGAUGGAUAGCCGGCCUGAGAGGGUGACCGGCCACACUGGGACUGAGACACGGCCCAGACUCCUACGGGAGGCAGCAGCUAAGAAUCUUCCGCAAUGGGCGAAAGCCUGACGGAGCGACGCCGCGUGGACGAAGAAGGCCGGAAGGUUGUAAAGUCCUUUUCUCAAUGAAGAAUAAAGCAGGGAGGGAAUGCCCUGGAGAUGACAUUAGUUGAGGAAUAAGCCCCGGCUAAUUACGUGCCAGCAGCCGCGGUAACACGUAAGGGGCGAGCGUUGUUCGGAAUUAUUGGGCGUAAAGGGCGCGUAGGCGGCUUGGCAAGCCUGGUGUGAAAGGCCACAGCUUAACUGUGGGAGUGCGCUGGGAACUGCCUGUGCUAGAGUUUCGGAGGGGAAGCUGGAAUUCCUGGUGUAGGGGUGAAAUCUGUAGAUAUCAGGAAGAACACCUGUGGCGAAGGCGAGCUUCUGGCCAGAAACUGACGCUGAGGCGCGAAAGCGUGGGGAGCGAACAGGAUUAGAUACCCUGGUAGUCCACGCUGUAAACGAUGUGCACUAGGUGUUGGCUGUUAUAACGGUCAGUGCCGAAGCGAACGCGAUAAGUGCACCGCCUGGGGAGUAUGCUCGCAAGGGUGAAACUCAAAGGAAUUGACGGGGGCCCGCACAAGCGGUGGAGCAUGUGGUUUAAUUCGAUGAUACGCGAGGAACCUUACCAGGGCUUGACAUAUAGCGGACGGCGGCAGAGAUGUCGCUUCCCUUCGGGGCUGCUAUACAGGUGCUGCAUGGCUGUCGUCAGCUCGUGCUGUGAGGUGUUGGGUUAAGUCCCGCAACGAGCGCAACCCCUGCUGUCUGUUACCAGCAUGUAAUGAUGGGGACUCAGGCGGUACUGCCGGUGACAAACCGGAGGAAGGUGGGGACGACGUCAAGUCAUCAUGGCCCUUAUGUCCUGGGCUACACACGUGCUACAAUGGCCGGUACAGAGUGCAGCGAAACCGCGAGGUGGAGCAAAUCACAGAAAGCCGGUCUCAGUACGGAUUGGAGUCUGAAACCCGACUUCAUGAAGCUGGAAUCGCUAGUAAUCGCGCAUCAGCAUGGCGCGGUGAAUACGUUCCCGGGCCUUGUACACACCGCCCGUCACACCACCCGAGUUGGGGGUACCCGAAGUCGCUUGUCUAACCGGUAACGGAGGACGGUGCCGAAGGUAUGCCUGGUAAGGGGGGUGAAGUCGUAACAAGGUAACC
rnacentral:rRNA from 1 species